GAGAUAGAAAGUUACUUCGGUACAUCGGUGACAGGUGGUGCAUGGUUGUCGUCAGCUCGUGUCGUGAGAUGUUGGUUAAGUCCCGCAACGAGCGCAACCCCUAUUGUUAGUUGCCAUCAUUCAGUUGGGCACUCUAGCGAGACUGCCGGUAAUAAACCGGAGGAAGGUGGGGAUGACGUCAAAUCAUCAUGCCCCUUAUGACCUGGGCUACACACGUGCUACAAUGGUUGGUACAACGAGUUGCGAGUCGGUGACGGCGAGCUAAUCUCUUAAAGCCAAUCUCAGUUCGGAUUGUAGGCUGCAACUCGCCUACAUGAAGUCGGAAUCGCUAGUAAUCGCGGAUCAGCACGCCGCGGUGAAUACGUUCCCGGGCCUU
rnacentral:rRNA from 1 species